UUCUCCUGUGUUCUUCAUACUGACUGUGGUGUUUGGUGCAGUGAUUGUGAUUCUUCUCAGUGUCCUGAUCUUCAUCAUAGUGAAGCACAGAGAAACACACAAAGGUGCUGGAGCAGAAGAUAACGAGGAUCCGGACUCGGACUCAUUGCAUUACGCUGCACUACAGUUCUCAAAGAAGAAAACCAAGAGGAGCGAGAGACGUGAUGAAAAUGUGUAUCAACAUGUUCUCUAUUCUUCUGUCAGACAGAGUAAUGUGUGUACAUAAUGUUAUAUAUCAGUUACUGUUUACUAAAUAUGAAACAGAUGUUUCUGAUGCUCUGAGGUUGAAGGGAUUCGACCUUUUAUAAACUCACAGUUACAGAAUAUGGGAUUGUAAAACUGCAAGAGCUUCAGGAUUCUGCACAUUUCUUUUUACGAUAGACCUUGUAUUAAGUCUCUCAGUUUAUCAUCCAGUGUAAUAAUAAAUUCAGGUGUAAAUAGAUACAUUUCUUUAUUUUGGACUUGUUUCUAAGAAAAUAACAGAUUUGUCGAGGCUCUGGCAAUAAAACCUGCUCUUUGUA